ACCAGAUCUGCUUCACUAACGCCCGCUUCUACUGAAACAGGGUCGACUCAUCGUCUCCCGCGUUCGCCGCCGCUGGAAUGCAAGUUGCCGCCCCCGUCCACCCCGCUGCAGCUUGGGAUUGAUCAUGCGAACCACUUAUUAGAAUAUCCAACAUUAACAGCGGGGACGCUAGGGAAGAUUAAGGACAAUGGAGCAGGAGGAUUAGCAUUUCACUUGAUGGCUGAACCUAAAAUGACAGGCAUGUCGACCACGACUAGUGCACGCAAGAGAAGGAC